AAACCACAGGGAUUGCCCUAGUAACGGCGAGUGAAGCGGCAACAGCUCAAAUUUGAAAUCUGGCCCUCGGGUCCGAGUUGUAAUUUGUAGAGGAUGCUUUUGGCGCGGUGCCUUCCGAGUUCCCUGGAACGGGACGCCUUAGAGGGUGAGAGCCCCGUACGGUUGGACACCAAGCCUCUGUAAAGCUCCUUCGACGAGUCGAGUAGUUUGGGAAUGCUGCUCUAAAUGGGAGGUAAAUUUCUUCUAAAGCUAAAUAUUGGCCAGAGACCGAUAGCGCACAAGUAGAGUGAUCGAAAGAUGAAAAGCACUUUGAAAAGAGGGUUAAAUAGCACGUGAAAUUGUUGAAAGGGAAGCGUUUGCGACCAGACUUUUUCCUAGCGGAUCAUCCGGUGUUAUCACCGGUGCACUUCGCUAGGUUAAGGCCAGCAUCGGUUUCUGUAGGGGGAUAAAAGCUUAGGGAAUGUAGCUCCCUCGGGAGUGUUAUAGCCCUUUGCAUAAUACCUUUACGGGGACCGAGGACCGCGCUUUUGCAAGGAUGCUGGCGUAAUGGUUGUCAACGAC
rnacentral:rRNA from 1 species